rnacentral:sRNA from 1 species
GCGAGUCUCACCGCCACCCAACCCAUCCAGCCCACCGUGGUCUCUUCCCAUCCCAAUCCCCCAUAGCAUCCUCGCCCAAUCGAACGAUCGUCCAUGGACCACUCGAGUCUUGCAACCAGCUGUCCAGAAACGUGGUCAUCUAUAACAAGGAAUUAGAUUUAAAAAGGGGGAAGAAAGAUCAGACGUCAGAUAUUCCUUGUAUACUGAUAUUUAUCUGCGUGAAAUGAGACUGACUCACAACGUCCGCACUGCGCAACUCUACUACCACCCAGACCAUCGUCCGUCCACCGAUAGGACAAUACCGAGCGAAGGUAUCGACAAGAGGGGGUACGAGCGCUUCGUUGUAGAUACAAUCCACUGCAAGCACAAGAUCGUACUCUUCAUGGUUUCUUUCCGGCUCAGGGCGGGAGUUUCGUUUCUUGCCAUCUUCAGACACUUGCACCCAAUCAAUCUCUUCCAGUUCCACCGACUUUUGCAAAGAACCGAGAGUGUUGACUUUACCAUUGCCGAUGGUCAAACCGUUCAGCUCGAUAUUCCGCUGAACGAGCUUGAGAUUCUCCAACCUAUCGGAUGCGGUGUAUUGUCCGCAUAUCCUACUCAAUAGAACGGCCAGCAGACCUGUACCACAUCCGAGCUCUAGUAUGCGGCUCGACUUUAGCAAUGACGGGUCCAAUAGAGGAGUAAUCUCGGCGGAUGGGUGGUAAUACUGAGAUAGGAUGUGGCGAGCCAAAUAGAGCGAGCUUCGCCAGAGAACACUACCUUCAUUUGGUAGAUUCAUAGUCAAUUAACAAGUCUACAAUCCUGAAAGUAACUCACCUGUAUCACCUUUAC